UUCAGUUCGAAAUAUCGCACUCUUACGAAGAAUAUCUCUCUUUUUUUACGAGAAAUAGAGUUUACAAACUUACCUUAGCCUUUUUGAAGAAUGGAUUCUUGAGAAGCUCAUUGGCAUCUGGUCUGGAGUUAGAGGUAAGACGACCAGUAAGACAAGGCUGCUGUUUCUUAUACCUAUUUGCUGGUUCCUUCUGAAGGCAAAGAGAAACCAUUUUCUUGAAGACUUUGGAGUACUUUUUGUAAUCUCUGGUUGACCCGUCAGCACAUGUCUCCAUUCUGGGUGGAUCAUUCUGGAGAGUUAGCAUCAAGACCUACACAAACAAGAACACAGAAGAAUUAUGUAUACCAUUGCAUGGGUCCUCCACUCUCUGCUGAAACAGGUUUGAUUCCUGGUCAAGACAUGAUUAGAAUCUAUUUGUUUCACAGCCAAGAAUUUGACUUAAAUAUGGGCCUACAAGAAGCUUAGGUACAUCAGCCUCAAAAUGGACAAUAAUGCAUGUUAGGGUUCUAGAUGUAAACAAUUAGAAACUGUUGUUUUAAAAUAGUUUGAAGGUAAAUGUACAAUUGAGGUUAUGCAACAGUUUACAAUCAAUUAGUCAAGUAUAGGCAAGUAUUGUGUAACAUUAAACCUUUUGUCACAAAA